CUGACCUCUCCGGAAAAAAAGUCCUUCUCUCUUUAAGGAGUUUAACUUGCCUUCCCUCAACACAACAGUGAAGAACAAGAAUGCUGAGAUUUCUCCAGGACACACCUGUGCACUGUUGCAGAGCAGCUGAUCUCGGGGAAGGCUGGUUUUGCCACACAGGUGGUGACAGGGCGGUCUCAACAGGCUCCCAACCCAACCAAAUAAAGGUGGUUUUUCUGCAUUCCUGUAGAGAUCGUGUACACAACAGGGCUGCCAAGUGAGAAGAAAAGGCUCAGGCAGAAAAUAUCACGCUUUAGAAAACAGUGUGUGUGCAUGCGUGCGCAUG